UCGGGAAUUUUGGGCAAUGGGCGAAAGCCUGAUCCAGCAAUGCCGCGUGAGUGAAGAAGGCCUUAGGGUUGUAAAGCUCUUUCAGUUGAGAAGAAAAGAUUGUGACUAAUAAUCAUAAUUCAUGACGGUAUCAACAGAAGAAGCACCGGCUAACUACGUGCCAGCAGCCGCGGUAAUACGUAGGGUGCGAGCGUUAAUCGGAAUUACUGGGCGUAAAGGGUGCGCAGGCGGUUCUGUAAGUCAGAUGUGAAAUCCCCGGGCUUAACCUGGGAACUGCGUUUGAAACUACAGAGCUAGAGUGUGGCAGAGGGGGGUGGAAUUCCAUGUGUAGCAGUGAAAUGCGUAGAUAUGCGGAGGAACACCGGUGGCGAAGGCAAUCCCCUGGACCUGUACUGACGCUCAUGCACGAAAGCGUGGGGAGCAAACAGGAUUAGAUACCCAUGUAGUCCCUGAGCGGGCUGGCAAGGCGCAU
rnacentral:rRNA from 1 species